rnacentral:lncRNA from 1 species
UGAGCUCUGACAGCCACCGUCUGUGUGAAGGCCAAGAGCCUAAAAAGCUCCGCAGGGGCGGUGCCUCCUGACUUCCAGAGAGCUCCCGAGGUUCCGUGCCUUGAAUGGCUUUGCUCUCAUUUUCCUCAGCCUGCAGGGUGAGCCCCAUCUCAAAGCGCCAGCUCUUCUGCAGACUAGAUGCCAGAGACACAGCCCUAAAGCAAGACCCCCCUGCCCCCUCCCCAAAACACUGAGUUUACAAAUAGUGAAAAGCAAUUACGAUGCUACGGUGAACCACAAUGGUAAUGAGUGCUGUAAAUAAGAGGUUUGCUUUAAAAAAAAAAAAAAAAUUAGGGGAGUUCCCAUCGUGGCGCAGCGAAAACGACUUCAACUAGGACCAUGAGGUUGCGGGUUCGAUCCCUGGCCUUGCUCAGUGGGUUAAGGAUCCUGCAUUGCCAUGAGCUGUGGGGUAGCUCUCAGACUUGGUUCUGAUCCCACGUGGCUGUGGCUAUGGUGUGGGCCAGCAGCUGCAGCUCCGAUUCGACCCCUAGCCUGGGAACCUCCAUAUGCUGUGGGUGCGGCCCUAAAAAGACGAACAACCAAAAAAUUUAAAAUCAAUGUACCAUAAUUCAACCUAAUUCAGGUCAUUUAAAUGACAGAAUUUGAUAUGUAUCCCGGGAGUCGUCUUUGCUAGUCCUGAUACAAUUGUUUCCUUUGUCUCCUGCAAACGUCUUGUGGGGGACAGUUUUAGUUGGGACUGAGAUUAUACCUACAAGGAUGUACUUAUGUGAAUUCUCCAGUUAGUCCAGGGGCUAAGAGACAAGGCAAAAUUGUCUUCCUCGCACUGAGAGCAAGGUGUAGUCAGCCUGUCACUCUUAACCCCGCCCAAGUGUCCAUCAAGUGUGAAAUGAAAAACCAAAACAAGGGGGAAAACACAGCAAGCAGAGCUUUUCACACACCCUUUCGUAGGAAAUUUUCCGAGGAUGUGUUCCCGCAAACUAAGGUAAUAAAACAAGAAGGAGGAAGGCAUGCGUGCCAAGAGGUAGCUGAUCCAAAUCAGGAAGGAAAUAAAGCCUGGGCGGCAGCUGUGGUUUAGACUUGGCAAGCCAAGAGUUCACACCAGAGCCAGAGAGAGACGGCCUCGGCGAACGGUCCCCGGGAAAAAGGGCACCCAUGGUUUCAGGUCUGUCUUGGAAAAGCUAGACCACAAAGAGAAAAGGCAAUUAUAAAUUCCCAGGGGAGUGCAGGGUGGGGGGACAUUCAAGAGAGACUAUAUUUGGGGAUAUUACUUCACUAGUGAAUAAUAAUUACAUGAUUGCAGUAAUAAAACACUGCUAGAUUUCCAACUUUGGGAAUUAAGCAUGGGAAGCCUUAGCAAACUUGCAGAACCCUGAGUCGGUCAGAGCCAAUGUUUUGUGAAUGCCUCCUAUGUUCCAGGCACUGUUCUAGAUGAUGAGGAUACAGUGAACGAAAGAGCUCUCAGUGCUCACGGGCUAGGAGGUGGAGUAAGCAAUAAACACGUCGAAUUAAGUGAGGUAAUGUCUCGGGUAGCAUGAAGAUACACAGCAUAAGGUGAGAGCACAUAGCUAAGGAUUGGAAGUUGCUUUGCUCACAUAGGAGACUUCUCGCAAGGAGUGAUGCUUCAGUUCCAAGUUAGAAGCUGGGAAGUUCCUGUUGCAGCUCAGAGGAAACGAAUCUGACUAGUAGCCAUAAGGACGCAGGUUUGAGUCUUGGCCUUACUCAGUGGGUUAAGGAUCCGGUGUUGCCGUGAGCUGUGGUGUAGCCCAAGUUGGAAGCUGGGAAGAGGGAGAAGAUCCAGGGUAUUACCAAGCAGAAGAACAAGGGUCCUAGGACAGGAAUUAGCUUAUGAUGGUCAAAGGAUAAGGACCAGUCUAGCAGAAGCAGAGUAAAUGGCAGGGGGUGGGCAGUGUAAGAGCAUGGAUGUUAGAGAUAGCCCAGGCCAGAUCAUUGAAGGUCUUAUGCGCAAUGGUGAGGAGGUUGCAGUGAGAGACCACUUUUUAGCAAGAGUUGUGAUGUGAUGCAGUCUGAUUUCUAUUUCAGAAAAAUCACCCUGCUCAUGUUAUAGAGGACAGAUCAUAGUAAGACGAGAGCAGUUGGUCCUGGAAAGAGAAGGUGGUGACUUAGAGUAGUGUUUUAGCAGGGGAGAUGGUGAGAAUAUAUUUUGGAAGCAGUGAUGACAGGACUUACACGGGGUAAGAGUCAGGGAGAGGAUUCGUUUCUGGCUGGAGCACCUGGUAGAUGGGGUAUCGUUGACUGAGAGUGUGCUACUUGGGAUAGGAGUACCUUUUGGAGGUCAAAUCAAGAGUUUGUUGUUGGAGGUUUUACAGAAAAAAAAAAAAAAUAUUCUCAACCUCCAGAAAGUACAGGUACGGUUGGGAGGGAAGUAGAAAUGCUAAAAGGGUAGAGAUGCCUGUACCCUCAUCCUACACAGUGGGCAGUAAAAGGAUGGCUUCUUGUUAAUGGAACAAAGCAAAGGAUACACACAUUAUUUCAUGUAAUACAGAGAAUCCAAAUGAUAGAACUAUAUUGCGUUAUAGACAGGGAGCAGAGAAGAAGUUAUUAGUGAUAUAAAUGCAGAGCUGUCAUAAAGAGAGAUUAGUGGGAGUUCCCAUUGUGGCUCAGUGGGUUAAGGACCUGAUGCUGUCUCUGUGAGGAUGCAGGUUUGAUCCCUGGCCUCACUCAGUGGGUUAAGGAUCCGACAAGCUUCACUGUAGGUCACAGAUUGUGGUCAGAUCUGCUAUUGCCAUGGCUGUGGUAUAGGUCCCAGCUAAGGAUCCAGUUUGACCCCUAGCCCGGGAAUAUCCAUAUGCUGCAGGUGCAGCCAUAAAAAAAUUUAAAAAUAAAUAAAGAGAAGUUAGUGGAUUAUAUCUAAAAUUGGUAAAGUAAGGAGUUCCCUGGUGGCUCAGUGGGUUAAGGAUCCCACCAGUGUCACUGCUGUGGCUCUGAUUCCUGCUGUGGCUCAAGUUUGAUACCUAGUCUGGGAAAUUCCCCAUGCCGUGGGCAUGGCCAAAAAAUGAAAUAAAAUAGGUAAAUUAAGAAAGAACAGUAUAAGCAUAUUAUUUAGUGACUGGAGCUAACCAUCAAAAGAACUGAAAAUAGAAGCAAUUUAAAACAAGCAUGAAGGAAAGGAGCAGCAGGCCAAGGGAUUGUUGCUGUUAUUUUAUUUUUUCAGCCCUCUGUAUAAGCGUCAUUGUUAAAAGGGCAACGCUUUUAAAGGCCUCAACGAAAGCAGAUUUUCAGCAUAUGGGGGGGAAAUUCUUUUAGUGUCCCCAAAUUACUUGAACAGUGGGGAAGCCAGGAGCAUUCAGUCUUAUUUCUCCAAAAUAACACCAAGAAUCUUCCACUUAAAAACAUGCUAGAAGGUGCGUGCACUACCAGGUAUCAAAAGAAAAAUUUAGUCUGUUCCUUUCUUGACCUGUAGUGGUUUCAACAGUUCUAAUUUAAUUUCAUUCUGAUUUAAAGUAUGCUUUGUGCCCUCUACCACUUUCUAGAAAACCAUCUGAGCCCCUACCAGAAUUCGGGGGGCGGGGGGGGGGGUGGCCAUUUGCCCAACAUGAUGGAAUGGAGAGACCCAGGAAAGGAAGAACGGCUUGAUCCAGGAAGCAGUGCCAAGGAGCAAAAGAAUGGCAGCAACAGACACUUAAAAAGUGACAGUGGCUGGGAGUUCCCAUCGGGGCCCAGUGGUGACGAACCCAGCUAGUAUUCAUGAGGACACGGGUUCGAUCCCUGGCCUCACUCAGUGGGUUAAGGAUCCGGCAUUGCUGUGAGCUGUGGUGUAGGUCGAAGAUGCAAUUCAGAUUCCGAGUUGCUGUGGCUGUGGUGUAGGCCAGCAGCUCAGAUUUGACCCCUAGCCUGGGAACUUCCAUAUGCCUUGGGUGUGGCC